rnacentral:rRNA from 1 species
CCUAACACAUGCAAGUCGAACGGUAGCACAGAGGAGCUUGCUCCUUGGGUGACGAGUGGCGGACGGGUGAGUAAUGUCUGGGAAACUGCCCGAUGGAGGGGGAUAACUACUGGAAACGGUAGCUAAUACCGCAUAACGUCGCAAGACCAAAGAGGGGGACCUUCGGGCCUCUUGCCAUCGGAUGUGCCCAGAUGGGAUUAGCUAGUAGGUGGGGUAACGGCUCACCUAGGCGACGAUCCCUAGCUGGUCUGAGAGGAUGACCAGCCACACUGGAACUGAGACACGGUCCAGACUCCUACGGGAGGCAGCAGUGGGGAAUAUUGCACAAUGGGCGCAAGCCUGAUGCAGCCAUGCCGCGUGUAUGAAGAAGGCCUUCGGGUUGUAAAGUAUUUUCAGCGAGGAGGAAGGCGUUGUGGUUAAUAACCGCAACGAUUGACGUUACUCGCAGAAGAAGCACCGGCUAACUCCGUGCCAGCAGCCGCGGUAAAAGGG